CAACUGCCUCCGGCGCCGGCCCCGCAUCGGUCGUGCUCGUGCUCCCAGCUGGCCAUACCCCUGGACCCCUGCAAGCUGCCUGAUGGAUGGAUUGCCUCUCCUUCUCUCCCAGUCCGCAAUUGGCCACAAACUCCCCACCCCACCCCGCGUUGUCUUUUCCACGUCCGGCGAGGUGAUGACGCAGCUCCGCCAUGGCCCAGGUUAUCACGCCCUCCGCAGGAGGUGGCGCGGGGCGGCGGUGCCUCCGCGUCCGCGCCAACUCCCCCGGCCCGGGCGACCAUGCGCUUCGCCGCCUCGUCAGCACCGCAUCCUGCCGCCGUCGCGCGCUCGCUUCCCGCUUCCGGCCGCUCUCUAGGUAAAUCCGAACCGAGCGUUCAUAUCGAGCUUGGCGUAUUUUUAGAGAAAAUUAGUGGACUGCCAUUAGUUGAUUUCAACAUCAGUACACUAAUUCACAUGUCAUGAAUCUUUUACAAUUUGGGGAAAGUAAUUCACCAUUC